rnacentral:precursor_RNA from 1 species
UGGAGCUCCCUUCAAUCCAAAUAAGCUCUUAAGACUUGCCAAUAGCUCCUUGGUCACGAAACCCGCAAGUCUGCCCCAUAUUUCCGAUAUAUUAUUUUUACACCAUUGUUUGAUGCCAAUUAGCGGGAUUUUAUUGAAAUAGAAUUGUGGAAUUCCUAACCCAGCAGCAAUAACAAGCCCUCAAAGGCCUUACUUUGGAUAUCAGGGAGCUCUA